rnacentral:RNase_P_RNA from 1 species
CGAGUAUUCCAGAUGGCCGCGUUCCGCAUAGGAAUGAGGAAAGUCCGGGCUCCAUAGGGCGAAGCGCUGGAUAACAUCCAGCAGGCGCGAGCCUCGGGAGAGUGCCACAGAAACAUACCGCUCCCUUUAGGAGUAAGGGUGAAAAGGUGGGGUAAGAGCCCACCGGUCAUCGGGUGACCGAUGAGCCAGGCAAACCCCGCUUGGAGCAAGAUCAAAUAGGGAGGGAUGAGGUGGCCCGCCGACCUCCGGGUUGAUCGCUUAAGAAAGGGCGCGAGUCCUUUCUUAGAGAAAUGGCCAUCGUUGUCACAGAACCCGGCUUACGGGAUGCUCGAAAG